rnacentral:rRNA from 1 species
GCAGAGCUUAGCCCUCGUACCUUUUGCAUCAUGAGUCAGCUAGUAUAAGCGAGCAAGAUGAGCCGCAGCUCCCCACCCCGAAACGAAGUGAGCUACUCCAGGACAGCCUAUUUAGGGCCAACCCGUCUCUGUGGCAAAAGAGUGGGAAGAUCUUUGAGUAGAAGUGACAGACUUACCGAACUUCGUUAUAGCUGGUUGUCCGGGAAAUGGAUAUAAGUUCAGCCCCCUAGUUUUUUCCGCACCCCAGGGGAGUUAUUCACAGGGGGUACAGCCCCUUUGAACAAAGAUACAACUUUUUAAGGAGGACAAGGAUUAUUAACCCCGAAGGGGUGGCGCCUCAGUGGGCCUAAGAGCAGCCAUCUGAAUAGAAAGCGUUAAAGCUCGAGCACGAUAUCUCAAUAACCUCUUCCAAAGCCCCAAAACCCUACCGGACCCCCCUACUUAGUAGGAGAGAACAUGCUAACAUGAGUAAUAAGAGGUGCACCUCUCCCCGCACACGUGUACAUCAGAACGGACCCCCCGCCGAAAAUUAACGGACCCAAAGAAAGAGGGCAAUGACACACAACUGGAAAACCAAUCCCCGUUGACCCCACACCGGUGUGCCCUAGGGAAAGACUAAAAGAAAAAGAAGGAACUCGGCAAACAAGCCUCGCCUGUUUACCAAAAACAUCGCCUCUUGCUAGAAUAAGAGGUCGAGCCUGCCCAGUGACAUUAUGUUUAACGGCCGCAGUAUUUUAACUGUGCUAAGGUAGCGCAAUCACUUGUCUUUUAAAUGAGGACCUGUAUGAAAGGCGUGACGAGGGCUUAACUGUCUCCUUUUUCAGGUCAGUGAAAUUGAUCCCCCCGUGCAGAAGCGGGGAUCCGCCCAUAAGACGAGAAGACCCUGUGGAGCUUGAGACAUCCGAGCAGCCCAUGUAAACGGCCCCCUCCCAAGGAAGUUCAGCUCAAUGGCACCUGCCCCAAUGUCUUCGGUUGGGGCGACCAUGGGGAAUACCAAACCCCCAUGUAGACAGGGAGCACUCCUAGAAACCAGAGCUCCCGCUCUAGUUAACGAGACAUUCGACUCAGAUUGAUCCGGGUAAACCGAUCAACGAACCAAGUUACCCCAGGGAUAACAGCGCCAUCCCCUUCCAGAGCCCAUAUCGCCAAGGGGGUUUACGACCUCGAUGUUGGAUCAGGACAUCCUAAUGGUGCAA